rnacentral:rRNA from 1 species
UGGUGCAUGGUUGUCGUCAGCUCGUGUCGUGAGAUGUUGGGUUAAGUCCCGCAACGAGCGCAACCCUCGACCUUAGUUGCCAGCAUUCAGUUGGGCACUCUAGAGGGACUGCCGGCGACAAGUCGGAGGAAGGUGGGGAUGACGUCAAAUCAUCAUGCCCCUUAUGACCUGGGCUACACACGUGCUACAAUGGGCGGUACAAAGGGCUGCGAACCCGCGAGGGGGAGCGAAUCCCAAAAAGCCGCUCUCAGUUCGGAUUGCAGGCUGCAACUCGCCUGCAUGAAGCCGGAAUCGCUAGUAAUCGCGGAUCAGCAUGCCGCGGUGAAUACGUUCCCGGGCCUU